UACGAAGGGGGCGAGCGUUGUUCGGAUUUACUGGGCGUAAAGGGCGCGCAGGCGGCGAUCUUUGUCAGGCGUGAAGCCCCGGGCUUAACCUGGGAAUGGCAAUGGAUACUGGCUCGCUAGAGUGCGGUAGAGGAGAGUGGAAUUCCCGGUGUAGCAGUGAAAUGCGUAGAGAGUCGGGAGGAACAUCAGUUGCGAAGGCGGCUCUCUGGACCAGCACUGACACUGGAGGCACGAAAGCGUGGGGAGCAACAGG
rnacentral:rRNA from 1 species